rnacentral:rRNA from 1 species
GGAAACGGGCGCUAAUACCGCAUACGUCCUGAGGGAGAAAGUGGGGGAUCUUCGGACCUCACGCUAUCAGAUGAGCCUAGGUCGGAUUAGCUAGUUGGUGGGGUAAAGGCCUACCAAGGCGACGAUCCGUAACUGGUCUGAGAGGAUGAUCAGUCACACUGGAACUGAGACACGGUCCAGACUCCUACGGGAGGCAGCAGUGGGGAAUAUUGGACAAUGGGCGAAAGCCUGAUCCAGCCAUGCCGCGUGUGUGAAGAAGGUCUUCGGAUUGUAAAGCACUUUAAGUUGGGAGGAAGGGCAGUAAGUUAAUACCUUGCUGGGUUGACGUUACCCACAGAAUAAGCACCGGCUAACUUCGUGCCAGCAGCCGCGGUAAUACGAAGGGUGCAAGCGUUAAUCGGAAUUACUGGGCGUAAAGCGCGCGAAGGUGGUUCAGCAAGUUGGAUGUGAAAUCCCCGGGCUCAACCUGGGAACUGCAUCCAAAACUACUGAGCUAGAGUACGGUAGAGGGUGGUGGAAUUUCCUGUGUAGCGGUGAAAUGCGUAGAUAUAGGAAGGAACCCCAGUGGCGAAGGCGACCACCUGGACUGAUACUGACACUGAGGUGCGAAAGCGUGGGGAGCAAACAGGAUUAGAUACCCUGGUAGUCCACGCCGUAAACGAUGUCGACUAGCCGUUGGGAUCCUUGAGAUCUUAGUGGCGCAGCUAACGCGAUAAGUCGACCGCCUGGGGAGUACGGCCGCAAGGUUAAAACUCAAAUGAAUUGACGGGGGCCCGCACAAGCGGUGGAGCAUGUGGUUUUAUUCGAAGCAACGCGAAGAACCUUACCUGGCCUUGACAUGCUGAGAACUUUCCAGAGAUGGAUUGGUGCCUUCGGGAACUCAGACACAGGUGCUGCAUG